GUUUAAUCUAAAAAAACAAUCAAGUUGUUUCCCUUCAAAAGACUGAGUAACACAGAGCUGCCAGACUGGACCGCAAGAUUCAGGCACGAAGAAAGGAUUCUGAGUUUUGUUUCACAUCAAUAUUUAUUACUGUAUCAGCAGCUACAUUUGAUGUGCUUAUAAUUUAUUAGUAGUCUUGAUCUGGAGGCAGAAACAGAUUCCAUAAUUCUUGUGAAUCACAUGUCCUCCAGGCAUUUUUUUUUUAAUCUAACUUUUGUUUACUGUCGCUUGUCCUGAACAUUUCACAUUGCUGUUCAUAAAGAAGCAGUUCACAGAAAACUAGUAACUGGCCUACCCCAAUAUUUUCCGUUUUAUUAGUCAAUGGGAGUCGGCUUUAAACUAUCCAGAGUAUAAUUUAUAACCGGAACAGACAAUUUAAUCAUUUUAGGAUGUGUUCAAGCACAGCUCAAAGUUUUAACAAGGCUGCUCCUUUAUUCCAGAGCCCCUCCCUGUCAAGAAGGCGCUUGUGCUUUAACAGAGAAAAUAGUCCUUCUUUACAGUUGUCCAUUGAGGUGAAAUGUGCAUUGAAACACUUUGUGAGAAAAGUAAUGCAGGAAGUAAAGUAAAUCUCUGAGAAGGAAAAAAAACUGGGAGUCUUUUGAGGUGGGAUGAAAAUUCAGUGAAAAGAUGGCAUAAUUAUUUUGACAGUAGGUGGGAUCUCUGAACUGUUAAUUAAGAGACUCACCAUUAAGACCGUGAAGACUCAAGUUUCUAGAGGUUUACUGAUUCUUUUCUGGUAUUUUUGAGAAGAUUUGAUUAUAUGGUACUAUUUUUAAAUGUCAUUUUAUAGCUUUAAAACAUGACAGAGGAAGCACCUUAACAAAAUGCUCAUCCCUGAGGGGACAAGAAUAAAAACCACUGCGUGCCAGAUUUUCACUUUACAUAACUCAAACUAUUUACCCUGUGGACAAAAGACCGUUCCUUAUGAGAAAUAGUGACAUAAUGAAACAUGCCUAUGCUAGGCCAGCUAAUAAAUCCUGUAAUUUGGUGCCCUAGGCAACAGAAUGGUAUCUUCAGCUGAUGGGAUAAAUGCUUGGAUGGACAGACAGAAGAAUGAACUGAUGGAUAGAUGGGCAGGCAUUAUUAGUACUCAUGUAGACAAAUAUCACCUAAUAUUAGCUAGGUCAUGUCCAUGUCAAAUAGAAAAAAAGCAAGAACUAAGAGAAUAGCAGACUGGUAGAUGGGUUACACCCUCACUGACAACAGCAGAAAUACCUCGAGGAAUACUCUGAGUUCUUUCUGGCAGGAGCUUUGUCUUCUUCUUCUUCAUAUCCUCAGCAUCUAAGAUUGUUGCUCUCAUUCAGUAGUAGUUCAAUAAUGUUAGAUAAAUGGAGGUAAAAGAAAAGGAAUAAGGAAGGACUCCUAGAUGCAAAUGCUAUCAAAUGCAUUCAGUGAACAAGAAUGGGAUUUUUCCUUUAGAGCUGAAAAGAAUCUUAAUAUCGAAGAAGAUGAAUGACCAGAAUGGAAAUAAGUCCUUCAAGAUGCUAUUCUGAAGCAGCCUGUCUAGAAAGCCCUGAAGAAACCUUGAUGAAGGGCAGGGAUGCUGGAGACAAGACUGUGGAAUGGGUAAAAUGUGCAGGGCUGUGAAAUGAGACAAGGCAACGGGCAGGAGCGCAGAGACCAGAGAAAACCAGAUGUGCUGUCCUUAGCUGGGAAGUCCCGGACAAACCCGUGGGCCUCAGUUUCUUAUUAGGUAAAAUAGAGGUAAACUAAUUCACCCCUUAGAUCCUUUCCAAGGUCUGAUGUUCAUUUUUACAAUCCUUAUGUUCCAUUCUUGAAAUCCCUUGUCUGACUCCCUAGAAAUAAAGAUGACUCAUUAUUUUCUCUUUUGGGGAAGGGAGGCAGAGAGCAGAAAUGUUGCUUAUCAUAUUACUUUGUCCAGCUAUGUUAUGAUUUGAAAAGUUUUUCUUUUUUGUCAAUGUGAUGUUAUUAUAUGAAACCCUAAAAAGCUAACUCUAUGUAGGAUUUCUUAAAAGUAACACCUGGAAAAAAUUGGAUUUGAGACAAAAAAAAAUUGCUUUAAAAGAAACUUCUCUAAAAACAUGUCUGUAUUUUGGUAUGCAUUUGCAACUACAUAUGCCAAGUGCCAAAAACUUUGUGUUCUCUGUUUUUUAAUAAAAAUUAUUCAGUAAAAUUGAGCAUUGGGAUACAUAACAGAGCCUUACGUUUCAUUGUCUUAAGCUUUCAGACUGGGAAUUUCCACCUCCUCAAUCAAGAAUCUGGUGAGCACAUCCUCAUCCCCAGAUUUGGCAGUCUGCAAUUUCCAGUGCAAUUCAUACUCUCCAUGUAACCGUAGCUUUCUUUCUAGAUAGUUGCACUGAUGCACACACAGAAUGCAGAGUACUGGAUACUCGUAACCUGAAUAUUUGUUUCUAUUAUAGGAGGCUGGCAACAAAAUGUUUCUGUUAGUGGAAAGUGACAGUUAUAAAUUGAUUUUCAGAGAGGAAAUGAAGACUCGGAGAGAAGGACCAAAAGUCAACACAAGAUAAAGAAACUCAAAAAGAAGGAAUUAAAAUUACAUUUCCCAAGUCACACAGC
rnacentral:lncRNA from 1 species